UACGUAGGGGGCAAGCGUUGUCCGGAAUCAUUGGGCGUAAAGAGCGUGUAGGCGGCUCGGUAAGUCCGCUGUGAAAGUUCAGGGCUCAACCCUGGAAAGCCGGUGGAAACUGUCGAGCUCGAGUCCGGAAGAGGCGAGUGGAAUUCCUGGUGUAGCGGUGAAAUGCGCAGAUAUCAGGAGGAACACCAAUGGCGAAGGCAGCUCGCUGGGACGGUACUGACGCUGAGACGCGAAAGCGUGGGGAGCAAACAGG
rnacentral:rRNA from 1 species